rnacentral:rRNA from 1 species
UACGGAGGGUGCAAGCGUUGUCCGGAUUUAUUGGGUUUAAAGGGUGCGUAGGUGGCCUUAUAAGUCAGUGGUGAAAGUCUGCAGCUCAACUGUAGAAUUGCCAUUGAUACUGUUAGGCUUGAGUAUUGAUGAGGUAGGCGGAAUUGAUAGUGUAGCGGUGAAAUGCAUAGAUAUUAUCAAGAACACCGAUUGCGAAGGCAGCUUACUAAGGAAUAACUGACACUGAGGCACGAAAGCGUGGGGAUCAAACAGG